GAUGAACGCUGGCGGUAUGCCUUAUACAUGCAAGUCGUACGAGAGUUUUUAACUCAAGUGGCGGACGGGUGAGUAACACGUAAGAAUUUGCCUUUAGGAGGGGGAUAACAACUGGAAACGGUUGCUAAUACCCCAUAUGCUUUCGAGUGAAAUGGUUUUUCCGCCUAAAGAGAAGCUUGCGGCUGAUUAGCUUGUUGGUGAGGUAAUAGCUCACCAAGGCGACGAUCAGUAUCUGGUUUGAGAGGACGAUCAGACACACUGGAACUGAGACACGGUCCAGACUCCUACGGGUGGCAG
rnacentral:rRNA from 1 species